rnacentral:rRNA from 1 species
AGUGAACGCUGGCGGUAGGCCUAACACAUGCAAGUCGAACGGCAGCACAGUAAGAGCUUGCUCUUACGGGUGGCGAGUGGCGGACGGGUGAGGAAUACAUCGGAAUCUACUUUUUCGUGGGGGAUAACGUAGGGAAACUUACGCUAAUACCGCAUACGACCUACGGGUGAAAGCAGGGGAUCUUCGGACCUUGCGCGAUUGAAUGAGCCGAUGUCGGAUUAGCUAGUUGGCGGGGUAAAGGCCCACCAAGGCGACGAUCCGUAGCUGGUCUGAGAGGAUGAUCAGCCAAACUGGAAUUGAGACACGGUCCAGACUCCUACGGGAGGCAGCAGUGGGGAAUAUUGGACAAUGGGCGCAAGCCUGAUCCAGCCAUACCGCGUGGGUGAAGAAGGCCUUCGGGUUGUAAAGCCCUUUUGUUGGGAAAGAAAAGCAGCAGGUUAAUACCCCGCUGUUCUGACGGUACCCAAAGAAUAAGCACCGGCUAACUUCGUG